CACAACCAAACGACCCCUUAGACAUAUUAAGCUGGUCCACUCAUAUUCAGAACUUUAUACUAAAAAUAUCUACAAUAAAGAUAUCAAAGAACAUCUUUAAUCUCCAUCAUCUGAUGGAACAUUUGAAGAAUCAAUAUCAAACACAAACCUCAAAUGUUUAUAUUGUUGCUGAGGAAGUCAAAGUUAAAGUUGAAGCUGAAUCAUCAAUAGAAACUAAUUCUUCAAAAGAAAGAGAAACAAAUGAUGAAGAAGUUAACUUCAAUCCAAAAAAUCCCCAGAAAUAUAUAGGUGUUCGAAAACGGCCAUGGGGAAAAUAUGCAGCUGAAAUUAGGGAUUCGACGAGGAAUGGAAUUAGGGUUUGGCUUGGAACUUUUGAUACUGCUGAAGAAGCUGCUAUGGCUUAUGAUCAAGCUGCGUUUUCUAUGAGAGGUGCCCAAACUUGUCUGAAUUUUCCAGUGGAAAAAGUGCGCGAAUCGCUACAAAAAAUGGAAUGUAAUAACCUAAAAGAUGGAUUGUUAUCACCAGCUGCAGCCCUAAAAGAGAAACACAAGAAAAGAAAUAGUAGUAGUUCAAGAAAGAAGCAAGUGAAUAUUAUUAAAGAAGAAGAGAAUGUGUUUAUAUUUGAAGAUUUAGGUCCUGAUUUAUUAGAUGAACUCUUAUCAUCUGAGAACUCCUCCUGUUCAAAUUGUUAAUCUACUAAUUUCCCCAUCUAGGGUCUUUCGGAGACAGCAUCUUUACUCCCUCGAGAUAGGAAUAAGAUGAGACGAUCACACACUUUGACAUGGUAGAGGUCACGAGUUCAGCAUCUCAUGGUCACCCAUUGUACAAAAAGACUUUCAUGUGCUUAGCUUGGCCUAUAAAAAUAGAACCAGACCCGCACGGGAGGGGGCGUGUUCGAUGAUAAAGGUAUGAUCUCUCUAACAACUUGAGCUUACACACUUCAACAGCAGUAACAUGGGGACUGAAACUCUUUGUAUGAUUAUGUGUGGAAUUAAUUAAAGAUUCAAGAGCCUAACUAGUUAGGCUUUCUGGUGUAGAAUUGGGGUUUAGCAUUUUGCAACAUUAUCAUUACAAGCUGCUCAUAGCUAGUAUAAUGAUAUAUUUGUUAGAAUCCUAUUCUGUUAAGUGCAUGGGUUGUAAUCUUUGUAAUGAUCAUGAAUAAUUCUUAAUACUUGAGCUAACUUUUGGAGUUAAGUUAGAUUCUCAUUCUAAAUAAUAUCCAUGUGAUAGUGAUAUAUAGAUCAAAUCCGACAUCUCUUGUUUGAGUUCAAAUUGUUGAGCUCUUGUAUUUUUUUUCUUUGUAUAUAUACCUUUUCUUCGUUUUCUUAUGUUUUUUCUGGUUGUUGUUGCUAUUUUGCAUACCGUACUUUUUUGUCAUAACUGUUGUGUUUUUGCUUUAUUGCGCCGAGGGUCUUCUAGAGAUGGCUUCUCUACCUUCACAAGGUAGGGGUAAGAUCUGCGAACAUACUUGAGGAUACAUUUGGUAUGUUGUUGUUAUUAUAUAUAUUACCACUCUACUUAGCUCUUUUAAGUCUUGCUUGUGGUGCCUUUGUCUUACAUAUUUAUUGUAGUAAGACCAUAUUUCGACAUGUUAUUUUUGCUCAAGAGGCAGGGGCAUGCAAUUUUCUCUGUAUCGUUUCAUUCUUUCGGAUGUUUCUG